AAAAAAGAUAUAGGUCUGGCCGGGUUAAGGAUUUUGUUGAGUCGAUUAGGAGGAAGGUGUCGUAGGAAGAAAUUGAAGAUCAAAAUCAAAGUGAUGGAUGAUUGGUGGCAUAAAAUGGUGUUUCCUGUAAGGCGUGUUUGGUUUGCUGUUUCUGCUCGUGUUAAAGCUCGAAAAAAUGGUGCUGGACUUUUGAAGCUUCAUGACGAUAUACAAACUUGUGGAUACGAGGAUGUUCAGGUCAUGUGGGAAAUGCUUAGAAAAACCGAAUCAGAAGUGACAUCUCGGCACCAUAAACGCAAACGCAGACCAUUGUGGAGGAUAUUUGUAUGGUCCAAUCAUAGUUCUAACUCAUCCUUCUCCUCAGAACAUGCUCAUCAAUAGACAACUUGCUGCAUCUUCAAGAACAAUAAUAAGUGUCUGGAGAAUCAAGACAUGUAUGUCAACUUCCAUUUCUUGAACCCCAUAGGGUGGUGGUAUUUCAUGAUAUGGUAACAAAGCUACAGUGUAUGUAUGUCCAUAUCAGCAUAGGAUGAAGUAUAUCUAUUAUACCUCUAUUAGCUAGCAUGACCAUAUGAGACUUAUCUAUGAUGGUGUCAGUUUGUAAAUAUUCCAUCUUUGUCAAGAGCCCCAUGAUCAUGUUUCAGCAUUAAACAGAGGAAAAGAAGUGUGAAGAGCUCAAUUUGCCUCUGGGAGGUUAACUUA
rnacentral:misc_RNA from 1 species